rnacentral:lncRNA from 8 species
GGUGGCUAUUUACAUUUUACUGUGUGUGUGUGUGUGUGUGUGUGUGUGUGUGUGUGUGUGUGUGUGUGUGUGUGUGUGUGUGUGUGUGUGUGUGUGUGUGUGUGUGUGUGUGUGUGUGUGUGUGUGUGUGUGUGUGUGUGUGGUUGUCAGGGCGGUAUGGGAUUGGUAGGCUGGGAGCGCUGGGGAGUUAACCACCGAGCAUAUUGUGAGCUCUCUCAUGCUCGUGAGUUGCAGCCUGUGUGUCAGGGUGGAGACACCGUUCUGUAGCCUGUGGAUAUAUGCCUUGGUCUAUUCUCAUAUAGUCUAUUCUACUUUCUUCAACUUGACACUGAAACUUUGAUUUGCCUUAUAGGCUAUCUACACAUUCUAACUAAAAACACAUUUUAGACAUUGGAAAGAGAAUGAACGGAAACUAAGAACUGUACUGGUACAUCUGAAGAAGUAAAAAUGAGUGUACAUACUGGAAGGUGCAACCCUGUCAGGAAACAAUAUGGUGGGUCAUGUUACUUGGGGGUCUCAGAGACCAGGGACUGGGAAGAGGGCCCAAGUACAACCUACAAGGAACAACCAUCAAUUCACAGAUGGAGGACGUGAAAAAGAAAGAGAGUGGGCGGAUGGAGUGAAGGAUGAAGGCUGGGUAGACGACUGAACAGAGAGAGAGAGGCUCUACGCGGCUGUUCAUCCAUUCAUCGCCAUGGGCUCUUGUCCUCGUCUCUCCUCCCCUGCUCCACCCUCCCAUCCCAGGGCCCUUUGAAGCGAGUGCGGCCCCAAAAAGGAGCU